CGGAAAGGGAUAUUAAAAGACGGGUCAAUUUCUUUUCUCCUGUCUGUACAAAUCCAUAAGAAUACGAAAACAAAUAGAAUUGCCAUUGCGAGCAAAGGCGGAUGUCAUACUGUUGUCAAGUUUCCAGACGACCUUGCCAUUGCUAGGUUACCGUCAGCAAUUUUGAAAUAAAAUUUAUACUAAAAAAACACAACUACCUACUGCUAGGUACAUGUAGUUCUGAGGAUCAUACAAAUUGUUGACACCUACUUUGUAUAUUGAAUAUCAUGGUUCUAUGCUCAGGAAUACUAGAAUUAUAUACAAAAAAACAUAAAAAAAAAAUACUGUUGACCAGUGUUUAUAGUAAUCGAGACCAUCUUGGACCAUCCCCUUAUUAAAAAGCACAACUUUAUAUAAUGGUUUACAUUAUGCCAUAAUUCCAUAAAGAUGAAUGUGUCUAUCCUUUUCCGAGAACUUGUCGGGACAAUAAAAUUAUGGGGAAAAAGAAAAGAAAAAGAAAAAAAAACAACCAAUAACAAUAUGCCCCCUCGACCUUUGAAAGGGAUAACAUAGAACGCCCUAUAGCAGAUGCAAGGUUAUUAAACAAUAGGGGAUCCUAUAGACAGACCCGGGGAUCCUAUAGAACGCACUAUAGAAUAUGCGCGAUUAUUAAACAAAAGGGGAUCAUAUAGACCGCCAAGGUAUAACAA
rnacentral:lncRNA from 1 species